rnacentral:rRNA from 1 species
AGUGAACGCUGGCGGCGUGCUUAACACAUGCAAGUCGAACGGACUUUAAGGGGCUUGCUUCUUAAAGUUAGUGGCGCUCGGGUGAGUAAUGUAUAGCUAACCUGCCCUUUAGUGGGGGACAACAGUUGGAAACGGCUGCUAAUACCCCAUACUCCUUCUUAUCAUAAGGUAAGUUGGGAAAGAUUUAUUGCUAAAGGAUGGGGCUUUAUGGUAUCAGCUAGUUGGUGGGGUAAAGGCCUACCAAGGCUAUGACGCCUACCUGGUCUGAGAGGAUGAUCAGGCACACUGGAACUGAGACACGGUCCAGACUCCUACGGGAGGCAGCAGUGGGGAAUAUUGCACAAUGGAGGAAACUCUGAUGCAGCAACGCCGCGUGGAGGAUGACGCAUUUCGGUGUGUAAACUCCUUUUAUAAGGGAAGAUAAUGACGGUACCUUAUGAAUAAGCACCGGCUAACUCCGUGCCAGCCGCCGCGGUAA